rnacentral:misc_RNA from 1 species
CGUCAAGCUUCUAGAUGGCAAAACAGCAAUCCUUAGAUUCACAGCCCCGCAAAUUGAAGGGCUUGCCAUCAAGCAACGGAUCUUCGAGAUCACCAAAAUACCCACUUGCUCGCAGCGCCUUAUCUACAGCGGGACACAACUCCGUGACCGUUCCGUAAUCUCCAGUCCUGAAUGCACUGUCCACCUCUUGCUCCGCCUCC